rnacentral:rRNA from 1 species
ACAUUUUUUAGAGCCUAAUUCAUYUUAAUUAAUAAUUAAAAUUACAUUCAAAUCCAUAUUCAAAAUUUUAAUAAAAAAAUUCAUCCUCAAAUAAAUUUAUUGUAAUCCAUCUCUCCUUAAACAGGCUGCACCUUGAUCUGAGUUUUAAUAUUAUACUAUAUUAUAAUUAUAUAUUUCAAAAAAUAAUUUUUAACGACGAUAUACAAGCAAAAUUUAAGUAUUAAUAAUCGUGGAUUAUCAAUUACAGGACAGAUUCCCCUGAUUGGAAUAAAAAACCGCCAAAUUUUUUGACUUUAAAGAACAUAACUAAUAUUUUUCAGGUAUAACAUUUCACAUACUAGAAUAAUGGGGUAUCUAAUCCCAGUCUAAAAUCUAGAUUUCUUAACCUCAUAAUCAAAAAUUCAAUUCUAAUCAAAAAUAAAAUUCCACCUAAUAUUUUUAAAAACAAAAAUCAACUCCUAUUAAUUAAAUACAAACCAAAAAAAAAUAAUAGCAUCCAUUGUUUAACCGCA